GACGAACGCUGGCGGCAGGCCUAACACAUGCAAGUCGAGCGCCCCUGCAAGGGGAGCGGCGGACGGGUGAGUAACGCGUGGGAAUUUUUCCUGGAGUACGGAACAACCGAGGGAAACUUCGGCUAAUACCGUAUGAUGCCGAGAGGCCAAAGAUUUAUCGCUCUGGGUGAGCCCGCGUCAGAUUAGGUAGUUGGUGGGGUAAAGCCUACCAAGCCUGCGAUCUGUAGCUGGUCUGAGAGGACGACCAGCCAC
rnacentral:rRNA from 1 species